rnacentral:rRNA from 1 species
UACAGAGGUCUCAAGCGUUGUUCGGAUUCAUUGGGCGUAAAGGGUGCGUAGGCGGCGCGGUAAGUCGGGUGUGAAAUCUCGGGGCUUAACUCCGAAACUGCAUUCGAUACUGCCGUGCUUGAGGACUGGAGAGGAGACUGGAAUUUACGGUGUAGCGGUGAAAUGCGUAGAUAUCGUAAGGAAGACCAGUGGCGAAGGCGGGUCUCUGGACCUCUUCUGACGCUGAGGCGCGAAAGCCAGGGGAGCAAACGGG